AAAAUUCAGGCAAUUCUCACAGGUUGCCCUUCUCAGUUUCAACAUGUAUGGUGGUCAGAGAGAAGGAGGAGAAAGAGUUUCUGCCUGCCUCUGUACAUACUGCAUAACCUGGACUCUAUGAUAGGAAAAGGAGGAUGGCUGUGGAGAACAGGAAGGAAGUUGGCCAUGCUGGGAAAGUCGCUGCAAAAAGAAGAGAAGGAUGAUUACAGAGGGCAAACAGGAAGUCAGCCAUGCUGGGAAGGUCACUGACAUAGGAAAAGGGACAGACAGGAAGUCCUUCUCAAUGGAAGCAAAGGAUCACAUGGCAAGUCAUGUGGUUUGUUUGGCACUCAUUGUUUUUAGUACUUGUUGCGCCUCCUGGAACCAAAUUAUGACAAGUACCGAGGUACAUUGUACUGAGACCUUUUUCAGCCAAGAUUCAGGCCUGGGCAUGAAACAGCAGCAGCUUUGGUUGCCCUCAUUGAUGAUGAUUUGUCUGGAUUGAGGUAAUUGGAAAAGAGGGCAAGCUGGUUAAAUACUAUCAUUGAUGACAGAAAUGUGAACUUACAAGAAUUCAAAGGACCAAUUACUGACAAGACAAUCCUGGCAGAAGUGGCUGAACCAUGGGGAAACAGCAACUUUAGCUCUAAUUUUUUUUUUAACAUUCCUGCUGUAGAAACCAGCAGGAACCAAAUCUUGAUCAACUUGUUCUUGAACUCUUUGACAGCUGAAAUUUUGGAAUGGUGUUUCAUAUAAAAAUUUAUUUUUCAUUGCUUUUGUGUUCCUAUUAAAGAGUUACUCUAUUUUGUGUGUGUGAAGAAAAUAAACCAAAGCUCUGUCCCA